rnacentral:rRNA from 1 species
AACGAACGCUGGCGGCAUGCCUAACACAUGCAAGUCGAACGAGACCUUCGGGUCUAGUGGCGCACGUGUGCGGGACACGUGGGAAUCUGCCCGUUGCUUCGGAAUAACAGAUAGUAAUGACUGCUAAUGCCGGAUGAUGUCGAAAGACCAAAGAUUUAUCGGCAAAGGAUGAGCCCGCGUAGGAUUAGGUAGUUGGUGGGGUAAAGGCCUACCAAGCCGGCGAUCCUUAGCUGGUCUGAGAGGAUGAUCAGCAACACUGGGACUGAGACACGGCCCAGACUCCUGCGGAAGGCAGCAGUGGGGAAUAAUGGACAAUGGGCGAAAGCCUGAGCCAGCAAUGGCGCGUGAGUGAUGAAGGCGUUAGGGUUGUAAAGCUCUUUUACCAGGGAUGAUAAUGACGGUACCUGGAGAAUAGGCUCGGGCUAACUCCGU